rnacentral:rRNA from 1 species
AUGCAAUCGCUACGUCUUGUACACCUAUACAACAACAGCCUCACCGGGACCAUCCCGUCGUCACUCGGGAACCUCUCCCAGGUGACUAUCUUGUCGCUGGGAGCUAACCAUCUCGAGGGAUCAAUCCCCGAGACCUUUGGGAACAAUCCACGUCUCGAGUUCCUUCAGCUAGCCAUGAAUAACCUCUCAGGUUUGCUUCCUCUUUCGUUGUACAACCAGUCAUCUUUGUACAGAUUUUAUGUGACAGACAACAACCUGCACGGCCGUCUACCAGCUGAUCUGGGAAGAAGCCUUCCUAGCAUACAACAGUUUGGAUUUGGGGAUAACCAAUUCACUGGAGUUGUGCCUCCAUCACUGACUAAUAUCUCCAGACUUCAGCUUUUUGAUGUUGGAAAUAACGGAUUCAGUGGGGUUGUCCCUUCAGAGUUGGGAAGAUUGCAGUAUCUUAGAUGGUUUUGUCUGGAUGUGAACAAGUUCGAGGCAAACAAUGAGCGAGAAUGGCAAUUCCUUACUUCUUUGACAAACUGUAGCAGGCUGCGACUGAUGUCUAUAGAACAAAACAGGUUCUCAGGGCAAUUGCCAACCUCAAUAUCUAACUUAUCCACAAACAUCCAAGAGCUAAGUAUUUUGGCCAACAAUAUAUCUGGUACUAUCCCAUCAGAUAUUGGAAAUUUCAUAGGUCUGGAGGUGCUUCAUCUUGGUCACAACUUACUCACCGGGAUAAUUCCUGAUAGCAUAGGGAAGCUUACACAAUUGAAGGAGCUACACCUGGGCUACAACAACUUAUCAGGAUCUACCCCGUCCUCCAUUGGAAACCUCACCGGUCUGUCUAAGUUUGAUGCAAGCUUCAACAGCUUGGAGGGACCAAUCCCAUCAAGCAUCGGAAAAUUGACAAAACUUUCACAGCUAGAUCUAUCGAGAAACCAUCUUAAUGGCACAAUUCCAAGUGAAAUUAUGCAACUAUCAUCGAUCUCAAUAUAUUUGGCUUUGUCUUACAACUUGCUGAAGGGACCUCUUCCUCCAGAAGUUGGUAAGUUGGUAAAUCUCGGGCAGCUUCUUCUAUCCGGGAACCAACUGUGUGGUAAAAUACCUGCAACCAUUGGUGGCUGCAUAGUCCUGGAAACCCUCUUAAUGGAUGGCAAUUCAUUCCAAGGAAACAUCCCUCCCAGUUUGAAGAACAUAAAAGGGCUUACUGUGCUGAAUUUGACGAACAACAAACUGAAUGGAAGCAUUCCAGGGGACCUGAGCAAUAUUACCAGCUUGGAGGAAUUGUAUCUUGCACAUAAUGAUCUAUCAGGGCCAAUACCUGAACUCCUAGGUUAUUCAACAUCGCUGUUCCACCUCGACAUAUCCUUCAACAAUUUACAAGGUGAAGUACCAAAAGAAGGGAUUUUCAGGAAUUUAACUGGACUAUCAAUUGUUGGCAACAAUGAGUUAUGUGGUGGAAUAGCACAGCUUCAACUGCCAUAA